rnacentral:rRNA from 1 species
CACGGAGGGGGCUAGCGUUGUUCGGAAUUACUGGGCGUAAAGCGCACGUAGGCGGCUUUGUAAGUUAGAGGUGAAAGCCCGGGGCUCAACCCCGGAAUAGCCUUUAAGACUGCAUCGCUUGAACACGGGAGAGGUGAGUGGAAUUCCGAGUGUAGAGGUGAAAUUCGUAGAUAUUCGGAGGAACACCAGUGGCGAAGGCGGCUCAGCUGGCUCGGUACGUGACGCUGAGGUGACGAAAGCGUGGGGAGCAAACAGG